UUCCUCAACGUCUUCAGUUAAACUACCUUUAAUUCCUCAAUCAAGGCAUACCACACAAUGUUAUCUACACUUUGCAGUAAAGGACUCUGAGUGGCUGGUGUUUUUUGCUUAGUGUAACCAUUACACAACAGUAUGUACUUGUCACCCCUGGCCUCCUAAAAAAAAUCCAGAAUUUAUUAUCUUGACCUUAGGUGCCAAAUGAGGCUGGCAAGGCUUUCUCCUGGGGUAAGAUCGUAGGUGGUUAGGAGUAAAUAAAACCCCAGCUUUGUGACUCUGUAUGACAUCACACACUUUCAGCCUAGCAUUGCCAACUACUAGGCACAUUACCCUGAGCUUCUUGUAACAAAGGUAGUGAUGUUCAUUUUAAAAAUAUCAAGAAACAGAUUAAUAAAAUUCAGAAUAUGAUUAUCUGCUUCUCAUUAUUGGGCUAUGCGAAAACACAGCCGACCUGGCCCAGUUCCAGGAACAACAUUGACAUGGUGUUAAAUCCAGAGAAGAUAGCCCCAAGUUAGAGAACAAAGUUGCUCUGCAUAAUAAAUUUCCCAAUUCUCCUCACAAAGUCCAGAAGAGCAACCAGGAGAGCAAAAGAAAAACUGAGUAUAGAAAAGUAGGAAAAAAAAAUCAGAAU